rnacentral:misc_RNA from 1 species
GAAAUGCGAUAAGUAAUGUGAAUUGCAGAAUUCAGUGAAUCAUCGAAUCUUUGAACGCAGCUUGCGCUCCUUGGUAUUCCUUGGAGCAUGCCUGUUUGAGUAUCAUGAAAUCUUCAAAGUAAAUCUUUUGUUAACUCAAUUGGUUUCUACUUUGGUAUUGGAGGUCUUUGCAGCUUCACACCUGCUCCUCUUUGUUCAUUAGCUGGAUCUCAGUGUUAUGCUUGGUUCCACUCGGCGUGAAAAGUUAUCUAUCGCUGAGGACACUGUAAAAGGUGGCCAAGGUAAAUGCAGAUGAACCGCUUCUAAUAGUCCAUUGACUUGGACAAUACUUUUAUGAUCUGAUCUCAAAUCAGGUAGGACUACCCGCUGAACUUAAGC